CCUACGGGAGGCUGCAGUGGGGAAUAUUGCACAAUGGGGGAAACCCUGAUGCAGCGACGCCGCGUGAGUGAAGAAGUAUUUCGGUACGUAACGCUCUAUCAGCAGGGAAGAAAAUGACGGUACCUGACUAAUAAGCCCCGGCUAACUACGUGCAAGCAGCAGCGGUAAUACGUAGGGGGCAAGCGUUAUCCGGAUUUACUGGGUGUAAAGGGAGCGUAGACGGCAGCGCAAGUCUGGAGUGAAAUCCCAUGGCUGAACCAUGGAACUGCUUUGGAAAAUGUGCAGCGAGAGUGCAGGAGAGGUAAGCGGAAUUCCUAGUGUAGCGGUGAAAUGCGUAGAUAUUAGGAGGAACACCAGUGGCGAAGGCGGCUUACUGGACUGUAACUGACGUUGAGGCUCGAAAGCGUGGGGAGCAAACAGGAUUAGAUACCCCAGUAGUC
rnacentral:rRNA from 1 species